rnacentral:rRNA from 1 species
CCUACGGGAGGCAGCAGUGGGGAAUCUUGGGCAAUGGGCGCAAGCCUGACCCAGCAACGCCGCGUGAGGGAAGAAGGCUUUCGGGUUGUAAACUUCUUUUCUCAGGGUCGAAGCAAGUGACGGUACCUGAGGAAUAAGCCACGGCUAACUACGUGCCAGCAGCCGCGGUCAUACGUAGGUGGCAAGCGUUAUCCGGAUGUACUGGGUGUAAAGGGCGUGUAGGCGGGACUGCAAGUCAGAUGUGAAAACCACGGGCUCAACCUGUGGCCUGCAUUUGAAACUGUAGUUCUUGAGUACUGGAGAGGCAGGCGGAAUUCCUAGUGUAGCGGUGAAAUGCGUAGAUAUUAGGAGGAACACCAGUGGCGAAGGCGGUCUGCUGGACAGCAACUGACGCUGAGGCGCGAAAGCGUGGGGAGCAAACAGGAUUAGAUACCCCUGUAGUC